AUGCUAGUCGCACAGGCUUAGACCCGUGGCAUAUAGCUCAGUAACACGUGGCCAAACUACCCUACAGACCGCGAUAACCUCGGGAAACUGAGGCCAAUAGCGGAUAUCACUCUCAGACUGGAGUGUCGAGAGUGAGAAACGUUCCGGCGCUGUAGGAUGUGGCUGCGGCCGAUUAGGUAGAUGGUGGGGUAACGGCCCACCAUGCCGAUAAUCGGUACGGGUUGUGAGAGCAAGAACCCGGAGACGGUAUCUGAGACAAGAUACCGGGCCCUACGGGGCGCAGCAGGCGCGAAACCUUUACAAUGCACGACAGUGCGAUAGGGGGACUCCGAGUGCGAGGGCAUAUAGCCCUCGCUUUUCUGUACCGUAAGGUGGUACAGGAACAAGGACUGGGCAAGACCGGUGCCAGCCGCCGCGGUAAUACCGGCAGUCCAAGUGAUGGCCGAUAUUAUUGGGCCUAAAGCGUCCGUAGCCGGCCGGACAAGUCCGUUGGGAAAUCGACGCGCUCAACGCGUCGGCGUCCAGCGGAAACUGUCCGGCUUGGGGCCGGAAGACCUGAGGGGUACGUCCGGGGUAGGAGUGAAAUCCUGUAAUCCUGGACGGACCACCAAUGGGGAAACCACCUCAGGAAGACGGACCCGACGGUGAGGGACGAAAGCUAGGGUCUCGAACCGGAUUAGAUACCCGGGUAGUCCUAGCUGUAAACGAUGCUCGCUAGGUGUGCCGUAGGCUACGUGCCUGCGCUGCGCCCUAGGGAAGCCGAGAAGCGAGCCGCCUGGGAAGUACGUCUGCAAGGAUGAAACUUAAAGGAAUUGGC
rnacentral:rRNA from 1 species